UAUUGGUCAAUGGUCGGGAGACUGAACCAGCCAAGCCGCGUGAGGGAGGAAGGUACAGAGUAUCGUAAACCUCUUUUGUCAGGGAACAAAGGCGGGGACGUGUCCCCGGAUGAGUGUACCUGAAGAAAAAGCAUCGGCUAACUCCGUGCCAGCAGCCGCGGUAAUACGGAGGAUGCGAGCGUUAUCCGGAUUUAUUGGGUUUAAAGGGUGCGCAGGCGGAAUGUCAAGUCAGCGGUAAAAUUUCGGGGCUCAACCCCGUCGUGCCGUUGAAACUGGCGUUCUUGAGUGAGCGAGAAGUAUGCGGAAUGCGUGGUGUAGCGGUGAAAUGCAUAGAUAUCACGCAGAACUCCGAUUGCGAAGGCAGCAUACCGGCGCUCAACUGACGCUCAUGCACGAAAGCGUGGGUAUCG
rnacentral:rRNA from 1 species